rnacentral:lncRNA from 1 species
UCAUUCAAUUCCCAACACCUCAGAGCUAGAACAAGUUGGUCAAUUUAUCAGCUAAAGCUUGACAGUCAUGUCCUCCAUGCUUAUGGCAGCCGCUGCUAGCUCCAGCACUCUUCUUAGACCAAACACCAACUCUCUUAGGGAUGUUGUUCCUAUGGGACCUGGGAAAUACACCAUGGUAUGCAUCUUCCUGCUUCCAACUCUGAAUUAUAUAUGUGUGUGAUAUGCUAGGUCUGUGUGUAUUCAACUGGGCUAAUGAUUCUGUUUGGUGACAUGAAUAGGGGAAUGAAUUGUGGUAUGGACCAGACAGAGUGAAGUACUUGGGACCCUUUUCUGCUCAGACUCCUUCAUACCUGACCGGAGAAUUCCCCGGCGACUACGGAUGGGACACUGCAGGGUUGUCAGCUGACCCAGAAGCCUUUGCUAAGAACAGGGCUCUUGAGGUACUUCAUCAUCCACUUUUUUUUUCUUUUUUUCCUUAAGUCGUUCAUCAUCCACUCUUAUCUCUUCGUCUCAUGAUCAAAGGAUGAUUUUACAUAAUUUUGUCAUAUCAACUCUAGGUUAUCCACGGGCGAUGGGCAAUGCUUGGAGCAUUCGGGUGCAUCACCCCAGAAGUACUUGAGAAAUGGGUGAGAGUGGACUUCAAAGAACCAGUCUGGUUCAAAGCCGGAGCUCAAAUCUUUUCAGAGGGUGGUCUUGACUAUUUGGGCAACCCCAACCUUGUUCAUGCUCAGAGCAUCCU